rnacentral:rRNA from 1 species
UACAGAGGUCUCAAGCGUUGUUCGGAUUCAUUGGGCGUAAAGGGUUCGUAGGCGGCGCGGUAAGUCGGGUGUGAAAUCUUGGAGCUUAACUCCGAAACUGCAUUCGAUACUGCCGUGCUUGAGGACUGGAGAGGAGACUGGAAUUUACGGUGUAGCGGUGAAAUGCGUAGAUAUCGUAAGGAAGGCCAGUGGCGAAGGCGGGGCUCUGGACAGUUCCUGACGCUGAGGCACGAAGGCCAGGGGAGCAAACGGG